GACAGCUUAAAAGAAUCAACUUCUCAUUUCAAUAUAUAUUUGGAUACAACCAAAAUGACUAAGGGUACUCUCUUCCUAAAUGAAGCUCUUACACAUUUAAAACUCCAUCUAACUCUACGUCUUAAUCAUUAAUUGUCGUUGUUCUCCUGUUUCAUAACCUGCAAGACUGUAAAGGGGUGAGCUCAACCUGCGGCUCAGUAGGGAGCUAUUCCUCUCCAAACAAAGAUAAUCAUACAAUGAUCAUAUAAUAUGCAUAAAUGGAUGUUCUACUCUAGUUAAUCCACAUAGAAGAAUAAACUGAGCCUACAUGUCCCAUACCAUAUAUUUUACCAAGAAGGUGACUCAGCAUACUCAACUAUAUGAACAACUUCACCAAAAUCAAUCCCUAGCCCUCUUUUGCUAGUCAUCUUGUCCAUUCCCCUUUCUCCAGUCCCGAAUUACCCUUAUCAUUCCUAUACUAAUUGCACAAUAACCACGGGCAUACUUGGGACAUGGUUCCUGCUGAGGUUUGGACUCAACUACGCAAAAGAUCAAUUUCAUAUUCCCUUCACCACCCUUAUCCUUCAAAUAUCUUUACUGAAUGAUGCAUCAAACUAUAAACAACUCAUACUUUAAACAUGUAAUUUUAUCAAAUACCCAAGCAUUCCAAACAAACAUAUCAAACAACAUAUAUGCACACAAUACGAAUGAGUAGAGGUUCCCCAGAUCCCCAUACCUUGAUUCCAAGCUAUUGCCAAUGUACAUGUCCCUGCAUAGAAAUAGAUAUCCGAAUACAAUUCACAAUCCUAUCCAUAAGCACACAUUUAAUUUUAAAUACAAAGCUAUCGUAUGGCUUAAGAAUAUACUUUGCUUUAAAACAUAAGUCUCAAAAACAUAGUACCUAAAAUCUCAGGCCAUUAAGAUAACAUUUGACGUGCUAAAAAACUAAGCAAAAUGUGACGCAUGUUUAUUUUGAAGAAAAAUUGUUACACAUAGUUGAUUUCAAAAUGGCAUAAGUAUCUCAAAUAAAUUUGGAAGAUAAUGUCACAAGCUUUGUUUGAAAGUUGAGAAUGUGUGUGUUCAGUUUGUGGUGAAUCUAAACAAGUUUGAAUGAAAGAAACCAUUGAAAACAAAACGAACAAAUUAACAGUAAAAUAGUAACAAAUGCAGAAACCAUUUAAAGUUGACCUUCAACUUCAAAAAUUCAUAACUUAAUGUACAUAAACCAUUUUCAGGAGAUUUCAGUUCUGAAAUGAUCACUAAGAUGUCUACCAAAACUUUUGUGAAAACACAAACUGCAAAUACUGAACCAAAACGUACAGGUUUUAAUAGAAAGGUUACUUGGUCCAAAACUUUUUUUUUUGAAACAUGGACGUAAAGCCUUUGAUAUUGCAACGAAAAGAAGCAGUUACAACAUGACUUACCCGCAAGGGCAACGAUAGAAAAAGCCAUGCUAGAUAGCCCGAAAGCAACCUAAAUGAAACUACUAUGGAGUUCACUUGGUCCAAAACUUGGAAAACUGAUUUGCAGAAAUUUCCUGAUGCAGAACCUUAAUUUUGAAAAAUCAUAACUUAAUCUACAAAACUCCUUUUUAAGAGAUUCAAAUUCAGGAAUGAUGUUUAACAUGUGUACUAUAACUUUUAUGAAGACAAUAACUUCAAAUACUCAACUGAAAUGCACAGGUUUUAGUAAAAAUGCAGCUGGGUCAAAAACACAGAAAACUGAUCUGCAGAAUUUCUUACUGAAGACCCUGGACUUUGAAAAAUCAUAUCUUGAUCUAAAGAAAUCCUUUUGAAGUGAUUCAAAUUCUGGAAUAAUAUUUAAGAUGUCUGCUACAACUUUUAUGAAGAAACAAACUUCAAAUAACCAACCUAAAUGUACGGUUUUUAGAAAUCAAGGUGACUGACUCCAAAAUACAAGAAAGCUGAUUUGCAGAAUGUUCAGAUAUGUUUUCAGCUUCUAACUUGACUAACGAAUUCUAAAUGAACUUGCAUGAAACUACCCAGAUAUCAAGCUAAGAAUAUGACAUUUCAAUACAUGCAAAUGAUUUCUAAAAUGCAUGAUUAAUUCAAAACAUAUGGCUGCUCAAAGUUAACUAAAUGAACAAGUUACAGAAACUUUUCCAUUCAAAUGUCACUUCAGUUCAUGCAAAGUCUAACGUUCUUAAUCAGUUCUAUGGAUGUUUAUACUCAUAUAGGUUUCUUAGUCACUCUAAGCUCUUGCUGUGCAAGAGAAAACUAGAAUCUCUAAUUCAAACAGCAACACUGAAAUUACUCAGGACACCCAAACUGGCAGAACUAAAGUUCUAUAAUCAUCUUUAUCAGUUUCUAUUUUGUUUGGAAAAGAAUAAAGCUACUAUAUGAACUCAAAUGUAUCAAAAACUACUGAUUAUUGAAUAUAGACACUACAAUGUUUCAGAAUGAAGAAACAACCCAAAUAUUGCACUAAAAAGACUAGCUUAAAUUACCACAAAGACAACCAAUAAAAAGUAGCGCAAUAGUCUAAACUUCUAUAUUUUUAAGUAACUUUAUACAACUCCGGUCCUUGGUUUCUACUUUCAAAAUUUAUGAAUUAAAGACAUAAAUAGGAACACCAAUAUCAGAUAUCUAUAUCAGCAUAAUUUCAUAACAUAACAAAAAUUAAAAGAAAAGAGUACAACUAAAACAAUAAAAGUCUGACAGCAAGAUUUCCUGACCAGUAAACUUUCAGACUGAAAACGACAUAGUUUGGCUGAGCAAUUACAGUUGGUGUCUUCAUAACAUUUGUAAAAGACAACCUAAAGAUCAUUUGAGAACUGGAAUCGCAGAAAAAGGAUUUUUCUACAAUUACUUAUGAUUUUUCGAAAAUCAGAUACAGUAGAGAAAAACUGCUAUGAUGUAAGUCUAUAUCUCAUGUUCUAAGUAAAGGGUUUAAGACUGAGAUUUUAACAACAACAACAACAUCAUCAUAUACUUGAUUCUCUAGCCGUUAAUAAUAUAUAAGAACUGAUUUGGCUAACAAAGAAAUCAAAUUAAAGGUGACCAAAACCAAAGGAUUUAGUAUUCCUAUUUGCCACAGAAUUCAACAACAACAAAACCAAAACCAAUUCUUAAUAGGAACUAUUCCAAUCAAAUAAACAAUCAUACAAAGAUUCCAAAGUGAUGUCAAAUUCUAAAUUCACAAACUAAGAGCAUAUAAACACAAUCAAUUGGUUUGAACAUAAAGAGAAUCUAACCUGAGUUCUACCAAUUUCCUACAACACCAAUUUCUCUUCUCUACUCUCUCUCUCUCUCUCUCUAUCAGUGAACUCAAAGAAAACAUAUGGAAAACUCUGAAUACUAACCUCUAUUUAUAUGGUCUGGAAAGAGAGAAGAACGUGGAGUCCAAGAAAGACUAAAGAAAGUCAAAUUGAGCACUUCAACUCAAUUCUUAUCCAUCUGGAAACUUAGUCUCCAAGAAUUUUGACAUCUUCUGCUUAAUGAAGUCGGCUGCUAGGUGUUUCAAGGACGGUUUCUGGGUUUCAUGGCGGUAAUGUUUCGGAUUGGGAAACAUCUGGUUGGAAGAAAGAAGAAGUCGAUGAAGAAGAGAGGAUAAACCUUUGAGUUUAAUGGUCGGAAGGAAGAAGGUGAAGGAGAAGAAGCAGAAGGCUCUGAAGGAGAAGAAGCAGAAGGCUCUGAAGGAGAAGAAGAAGAGGACGACGUCGUUCUGCCUGAAUGAAAAACUCUUUCCUAUAGCUAUCAAAUUUGGGCUUGGGUUUUGUAUUUGGAUAUUGAGGUUGG
rnacentral:lncRNA from 1 species